AGAACGAACGCUGGCGGCAGGCCUAACACAUGCAAGUCGAACGCCCCGCAAGGGGAGUGGCAGACGGGUGAGUAACACGUGGGAACCUUCCUAUUAGUAUGGAAUAGACCAGGGAAACUUGGAUUAAUACCGUAUACGCCCUAAGGGGGAAAGAUUUAUCGCUAAUAGAUGGGCCCGCGUAAGAUUAGCUAGUUGGUGAGGUAAUGGCUCACCAAGGCUACGAUCUUUAGCUGGUUUGAGAGAAUGAUCAGCCACACUGGAACUGAGACACGGUCCAGACUCCUACGGGGGGCAGCAGUGGGGAAUAUUGGACAAUGGGCGCAAGCCUGAUCCAGCCAUGCCGCGUGAAUGAUGAAGGCCUUGGGUUGUAAAGUUCUUUUAGUAGAGAAAAUAUGAUGGUAUCUACAGAAAAAGCCCCGGACUAACUUCGUGCCAGCAGCCGC
rnacentral:rRNA from 1 species